CUUUAGGAAAACACACUUCUUCUUCAUAAUAAGGGGUCAAGACACUGAAAGCCAUCAUUUUCUCAACAACAGGUGCACGAGGCAUGUUCAUGAAGAGGGAAUUGCUAAAAAAAGCAAUACGCCGUCUUGCCUCAAUAUUCUUUGGGACAUUGUGCAUGGAAUCUCUGGAGUUAAGAAUUGUGUACAAACGCCGUACAUGCCUGUUGAAUAACUCAUCUUCAGCAUCUGGAAACUCAAUAGCAUUCUCAAAGAGUAACCCUUCAUCAGUGGAUGCACUAUGGGGGGCUAGACCUUUCUGCCUCAAUUGCUCAAUUGCCCUUUUUCCCCCUGGAAAGUCUCGAACAUAAAACUCAUACAAUGCCUGCAAUAUAUUCACUGCCUUACUUAGAUCCUUCUUUGGUCCCAUCAGAACCUCAACAAAUGAUAUCAACUUGGAAUGAACAGAUUCUAGUUGUUUCAGAUUGUAAGCCUCAGUAACCUUUUCAAACUGAAUAUUGUUGUCUAUUUCAUCGAAAAUUCUUUCAGCAAUAGAAUGUUCU
rnacentral:misc_RNA from 1 species